GCUUACUGCCAAUAAGAAGUUUGGGUUGCUGGUGGAGCUUCUGUUUUAAUGUAGACUAUUUGAUGUUGGCGGUUUUGUUUUUCAACUUUCUAGGAGCCCAGGACAUGUGACUAACCAGAAUCCUGAAGUUGUUGUGCCUGAAUGGAGUAAACUAAAUGUCAGAAGCAAGUGGUUCUGAGGAGUGCAAGGGGUGGCCUGCAGUGGCUGCUAUUGGCAUCCUUCUUGUUCCCCAGCGGCUCCACAUUCUCAGCCUCAGCUCCUUCAUCUCCCUCUGACUUCAAAGGAAUCUCUGCAUGAAGAAGGAGGGCGCACAAUAGAAGAAUUGGCCCGAUUAUCCCCUUCUGUUUGGAAAUGGGUGAAGAUUACAGAUAUGUUUUACUUCUUCCUGUGCUUUGGACUAUAUGAUGUCAACUACCUUAAGCAAAACCCUCUACCCUGGCUAAUAUAUAGAUUUGGAUUAUACCAAAAUUGCCUAAAAUUGGAAACAAGACAUUAAUAAUAAUCUGUAAUGGUGUAACAUAAUAGAAUACAUGUUUAUUUUCAUUGGCUUUAGCUGGUAUUAAAAAAAGGUAAAUUAGUUUGGAGAUGUAAAUUUUAUAUUUAUUAUAUCCUGACCUUUUUGCUCAUCCUCUACCACUUUAUAUUAUGAAUGAGAUAAUUAAAAAGAGUCCACUUAUUUUUUGUUCUGCUAUAGCACAUUUUUGCUUCCUUAAAUGUGUUUGUGUGUAUGUGAAUGUGUGUGUGUGUGUGUUGUGUGCAUUUAUUAUUUUAACCAAA
rnacentral:lncRNA from 10 species